GCGGCGAUGGACAACCCUACACAGCGCCACUCGUUGUCAUCUUGUCGGUCAAGUAGGUGCAUCGGAGGCUGCUCCAAGCCUCCACCAUGGAAUCAAAUGGGUGAGGAAUUCUACUAUACAGGAUUAUAACAAGGGGAAAGGAUAAGGAAGAAGGGGGCUCUAUGAAUAAAGAACAAGAAGGUGUCCCUGAAAAAUAAGCAGCUGGAGAACAACAAGCUUAUUGUUGGCUUUCUACAGAAAAUGUCGUAACACCUGAGAAAAUUGCUGUACUUUACACAUGGGCACAUGGGUUCCAUUAUCAGAAUAGGAGAGCCUAGCAGUACAAAAUCAAGGCUCUGUACUAUAUCGUUGGCCAAAGGUUAUACAUAUGUACCUAUACUGAUUUAUUUAUAUUUGUAGCAUUUGAGAUGGUUGGCUUGUCAAUGCUACAAAUCGGUAUUUCUACUUCUAGAGAAAUGUAUGUUCGUUUUCCGAAUAACUGCUAUUGACCUUACAUGAUUCUUUGAAGUCAUACUAAUUUGGAUUUGUUAUAACAUACACUUGAACAUUUAUAGUAGAGAUAUCUGACUUUGUCUGUUGGAAAUUGAUAUCAACCUACAUGGAUAGUGCUAUUGUUCCUUUGCAUAAGCCAAAUUAGUCCUGACUAUUAUAGACUGCCAUUUCUUAUAGCACUAGGAAAAAUGAAUGUGGUUACUCACUGUUUCAGAUGAGUGUGUCAAUAAUUUGGCAAUGUGGUGUCGAAGUCUUCGCCCAUGAGGUUACACCUUCAAGGGUGACAUUGAAGAAGCAUUCAGAUGCACAGAUAUAAGAGAAGAUCAACUUGCAUGCACAAGUUGUGUUGCAGACGAUGGGGCCAUGCGGUUGAAUGUGUCUGGUCAAGUUGAGCAAGAAGCAUGAUAUCAUUAGCGAGAUGUUCACAAAAUUUCUUCAAAGUUUAUUUGAUGG